UGCAAUGACUGAGCACUGAUUACUACAGUUGGCGACCCGAACAGGGACCUUUGGGAACCCCCUCCGGGGAAGAGCGACAACCAACAUACUUACCAUCGUCUGGAAUAGACCUCUAAAUGCACUUUCAUCCUACGGGACCCCUCAGUGGAUUUACCCAAGCCAACAGGAAAAGAUGUCCGGAUGGUGGUGUGUGCCGAUCUUACAAAGAAUGUUAUAGGGAAGAGACAUAUUGGGGACGUUGCCCUUGGAACCGUAAGAAGAUCUAUUGUUGCUUCUGAAUAAGAUUUGGUCCAGAACCAAUUCCAACAUGAAGAUCUUUUGCCUGCUCUUCGCAUUCCUUUUCCUUGCAUUCCUGUCUGAACCAGGGACUGCUAGUCCUCUGUGUGAGAAAACAAAAGGAAAAUGCAUUGGCCCUCCCUGUCCCAUAGGGGCAUUCUCUGUGGGACAUCAAGAUUGUGGUCCUCAGUUGUGCUGUGUUAUUCCAUAAAAUGUUGCCAUUUCCAUCUGGAUAUCUUCAACCUCUGCCCAAUGACCUGACACGACUGCCUGCUGUCGCUUCAUUUUCUUUUAUAUAAAUCCAAAUUGCUAUUGCUAUCUAUCAGUUUCUAGAAAAGUUAUGCAUUGAACUAAAAUUU